GACGAACGCUGGCGGCGUGCUUAACACAUGCAAGUCGAACGGAAAGGCCCUGCUUUUGUGGGGUGCUCGAGUGGCGAAAGGGUGAGUAACACGUGAGUAACCUGCCCUUGACUUUGGGAUAACUUCAGGAAACUGGGGCUAAUACCGGAUAGGAGCUCCUGCUGCAUGGUGGGGGUUGGACAGUUUCGGCGGUUGGGGAUGGACUCGCGGCUUAUCAGCUUGUUGGUGGGGUAGUGGCUUACCAAGGCUUUGACGGGUAGCCGGCCUGAGAGGGUGACCGGCCACAUUGGGACUGAGAUACGGCCCAGACUCCUACGGGAGGCAGCAGUGGGGAAUAUUGCACAAUGGGCGGAAGCCUGAUGCAGCAACGCCGCGUGCGGGAUGACGGCCUUCGGGUUGUAACCCGCUUUCGCCUGUGACGAAGCGUGAGUGACGGUAAUGGGUAAAGAAGCACCGGCUAACUACGUG
rnacentral:rRNA from 1 species